AUUGAACGCUGGCGGAAUGCUUUACACAUGCAAGUCGAACGGUAGAGGGGGCAACCCCUUGAGAGUGGCGAACGGGUGAGUAAUAUAUCGGAACGUGCCCAGUCGUGGGGGAUAACGUAGCGAAAGUCACGCUAAUACCGCAUACGAUCUAAGGAUGAAAGCGGGGGACUCGCAAGAGCCUCGCGCGAUUGGAGCGGCCGAUGUCAGAUUAGCUAGUUGGUGGGGUAAAGGCCCACCAAGGCGACGAUCUGUAGCUGGUCUGAGAGGACGACCAGCCACACUGGGACUGAGACACGGCCCAGACUCCUACGGGAGGCAGCAGU
rnacentral:rRNA from 1 species